GAAUUUUCAGAGCUGUUUUAUUUUUUUAAAAAAUAGAAUCUAUUCAACAGCUGAAUUUGAAAAGCAGUUUAUCAGUUAUUACAGUAAAUAUAUUCAAAGUGAAUCAUAAAACCACUAAUUAGGUUUGAAUCACUCAAGUGUAUAUUUGCUGUGACAACAGUUUCCCUUUACAGAUCAUCCCUCUAUUUAUAAAAGAACUGAAAAUUAACAUUUCCUGCUUUUGUCAGACUGAAGCAUCUUUCAAUAGUUCUCAGCAAACAUCUGAAGGAUUCUUGCAUCCUGAGAUCAUCUGGCCAUUAUGUUUUCAAGUGUUGUCUCUCUUCAAGAGAGGUUUAACAAAUUAGUAAAACCCAGGACAGUCCACCACACAGAACAGUGAAGUUUUGCUCUGGCCUCACAGACUCU
rnacentral:lncRNA from 1 species